CAGUAAUAGGCGUGGUAUUUCCAGAUCUCCCUUGAAACCCCAAAGACUUGUAGAUUUCAUUUUAACAUAGGGUUUCUAUUUGUCCAGUUUCAAACUUGCAGGUCUUUCCAUCUCUCUUUCCAAUUUAUUUUAUUUACUCAUUACAACAAAUGCAAAUACUGUUAACCUGGACAGUUUUUACUUAGUUUGAUAUGUUUUUAAUAGUCCAAGAGACCAGUGGAGAUGGCUUAAUUGAGUCAAGAAAGACGACUCAGAAAUCAUUUUGAAUGCUUUAUUACAACAUAAAAUAUUAUUGGGACAUGCACCCCUAACACCAGUAAUCUAGUAUAUUUUGAAAAGUUGUUUCUCAGUUUGCAAUGCUUCAGACACUUCUUAAGAUAUCGUAACAAAAUUUUGUGUGAUGGUUCCUGAGAUCGAGGAGCCAGUUUUCAUCUAUGUUUCUAUACAGUUGGGUGCCAUUUUGAAUCAAAAUGGCAGACUGGACCUUAAAAACUUCACUGAUUG